rnacentral:rRNA from 1 species
GACGAACGCUGGCGGCGUGCCUAAUACAUGCAAGUCGAACGAGAGCGCCCGGUGCUUGCACUGGUCAAUCUAGUGGCGAACGGGUGAGUAACACGUGGGUAACCUGCCCAUCAGAGGGGGAUAACAUCCGGAAACGGAUGCUAAAACCGCAUAGGUCUUCGAACCGCAUGGUUUGAAGAGGAAAAGAGGCGCAAGCUUCUGCUGAUGGAUGGACCCGCGGUGCAUUAGCUAGUUGGUGAGGUAACGGCUCACCAAGGCCGUGAUGCAUAGCCGACCUGGGAGGGUGAUCGGCCACAUUGGGACUGAGACACGGCCCAAACUCCUACGGGAGGCAGCAGUAGGGAAUCUUACGCAAAGGACGCAAGUCUGACGGAGCAACGCCGCGUGAGUGAAGAAGGUUUUCGGAUCGUAAAACUCUGUUGUUAGAGAAGAACAAGUGCUAGAGUAACUGUUAGCGCCUUGACGGUAUCUAACCAGAAAGCCACGGCUAACUACGUG